rnacentral:tRNA from 1 species
AAGAAGAUAGCUCAGCGGGAGAGCAUCCGGCAUCGUACGGAGGGUCGAGGGUUCAACUCCCUCUCUUCUUUA